rnacentral:ncRNA from 1 species
AUGCUUAAUCGCGGCUCAUCUUUCAUACCUCCCUGUUGGACUUCGGCCGAGCUUUGUGCUCGGCCUUUUUU